CUCUUUUUCUCUUUACAGCUUAUGGUUUCUUAUAUAGCCCAUAAUCCACAUGGCUGAACUCCUCUGGGUUUCGGAGUAUAUCCUCCGCAUCAGACAAAGAUGGGGUUGUUUUCCCCUCAUGGAUCCCCUGGGUUAGAUGCAGCAUUAGGAUCUGGCCUCCAUAGUACCUCUACCUGGGGAGGAAGUGACAAUAUUUCACAAAAAGCUUCUUUUUGGCCUGAAUUAAAAACUAUUUUAGGACUAAA